rnacentral:ncRNA from 1 species
UGCCGAUAAAGCCAAACCACGAGUAGUCGUGGGACGGAAAGCCACGGGUUCCGCUGAGAGAGCCGGGUCGCUAUA